UGGUCGGGGUCUAAGCAAGGUGUAGGGGGCCAAGGAACGGGAGAGGGAGAGAGACCUGCUGGAGGGGGCGGCGGCGGCGGUGGUGCAGAAGAGAAGAGGGGAGUGGAGAGGGGUAGGUGGUCGCUGGAGGAGGACAAGGGGAGGGCGUCUAACUCGUCGUCCGACGCUCCCGUGCAGCACCGUCCUCCACCUCGUCUCGCCUAGACGCCCAGCAGCGGCAAGAAGGCGAGCUCCGGUGGGAGCAGGUGCAUGAAGAGCGGUGGUACGCACCUGCGGCCACUCCGGUGGGAAGGGAGGUGUGUGUCCAUGAGGGGGCGGGGGAAGGUACGGGAGAUGGAAAGGGAUUAAAUCGAGAGAAGGGACUGGUACAGAUAGAAGAUGUGUAUCUCUCGACACCACCGACCUGUGGUCCCAUGGUUUAACCUCCGAUUUAUUCGUAUAUACAGGUUAAGAGUCUGAUCUAAAAUUACUUCCUUCAACGUCAAGUAAUGUGACGUUUAAUACUUAUACCUAGGUAGGAAGACACGAUUACUUCCCCACCUACAUUAUUCCGACGACCGUUACGUACCUACGAAUCUACUCCACGAUUCGUGUAAUUUAUCGAAUCGUUGAUAUGAGGGGUUACGUAUCCACGAAUCGAAUACCAACGAUUCGAACGAAGUAAAUUACUAAAUUGUUGAUUUCGAGAAGUACAUAACCACCCGAGGUAAGAAAAUUUAUAAAACGGAUCCAAGUGCACGAAUCGUAACCAAGAAGGACUCCAGUGGUGUGGGUAGAGAGGGGAGAAUUUAUUGAACGGUGUAGUCUAAAAAACGGAUGCACCUUCCGAAUCGUGGACAUGUUCCACCUCGUAACCCUCCCCGGAUUCUUAACAUACACUGUUUGCCCACGAAGGAUAUCCAUAAGAAAGAACGUAGGAUUACAUAUCAUAUGGAUGGAAAAUGCUGGCGCCUUAGAAAAAGGUACUGAUCUAACCGAGAGAGUGAAAAGAGGACAGGUACGAAAAGGUUUAUAAAGUGUAGACUACAAGACGAAGGCGAACAGAUAUAGUGCCACGCGUGACGGGUACCUCGAAGUCUACUUGGUCAAAUGAAAAUCGCCACGUAAGGUGUUAUCGCCGAGAGUGUAAAAAAAGUGUACAAAAUUUUAUACGUAUAAAACUACAUGACCAACGUCAUUGUCUCGACUUAGUGAGCAACAUACGAUGAAGUAUAAACGUAUAGGGGAAAGAAUGUUCGAUGGUAUCCCCGCACGUAGUACGAUAUUCAAAUAUGAUGUUAUUAAUGAGGGUCUAACUUAAAACACAGGUGAUAUCUUAGAAGUUUUUUCUUCAGAUUCUUUUUGAUUUGCCAGUAGAAUUACCCUGAAUUAUAUAGGUUUUUCGCGUACUGAGUUCAAGGUAAUGAAUGUAAAUUGUAGAGUGAACGACGUGAGUAGAAGACAAAUCGAGACGAAAAGGUAGAUCGAAGUGAAUCGUAAAAUAAGACUAGCGUUAGAUACGACAAGUUCGUACUAAUAGAGGAUGUAUUUGUACGAGGUAAUGUACGAAAAUGUUUUGACUUAGUUUUAUUUGAUUGAAGUAAAUUCUUUAACAAAAGUGUGACUGUCCUCUGUACAUUGAGUCUCGUAAAGUAAAGGUAGGUGACGAGACAUAGAAGCGGAAAGUACAAUGUUAAUUUAAGUAGGUGACGUCAUAAUUGAUAAAAGGGAAUGGUGUCUUUUCUUUACCGUUCCUUUGUCUCCCGCGUCCUGAUGAUCUCCGUUUCUGUCUGCCUGCGCCAGCCUCGUCAUACCGUCGCAGCUACCCCUACCUCCUCGCGUGUCUCUACGACGCCUCGUGACGACUACUCGAACAGCCGUCCUGCUCGACGUGAGUGACGACGUGCCGUUGGGGCCGGGCCAGACGAAGCUGUCCAAACUCGGGAGGCAGUGGCUGGCGCACGUGUAGAUCGUCCCACAACCCUUCCACUAGUUACACUUGUUCUACCAGUCCCGGUCUAUAUCUCAUUUUUAGGAUUAUCGCCUGGUCUCCUGGCCUCACUUCCUGAGCCGUUCUAUUCCUGCAGCCAGCGGUUAAGUGACACUAACUCUAGGCGCAGCAUUGGUCUCUCGUCAACCUGGUACUGUUCCUGCAGCGGUAGCCGAUUAGGCGGUACACCCUAAUAACAAACUGGAAAGUGUCAAGGAGGUCUAAUUAGAUUUCGUAGUUCUAGACAUUCACGAGCACCCAGGAGUUCCACGACCAAGCACUCGAGUCAAACAAACCCUGUAGCUUCCAAUAGAACCCGCUACACGUAGUUGUUUCUUCAAAUGUUAACGUUACUCUAACAAAACUCCUGUUUAGAUGGCUGGCUCCUCGUGCGAUCGGUCCAUAUGUGUCCUCUUCACAUACUUGACAGACACGUUUGGUAUACACUUAGACUUGGGAAGAAUCACCUCCGUCAUUAACGGUUGAACUUUAUGUAUCGUGGCGUAGGGUUGUCAUUUUGGUCCCUUUUUACUAGAUCCAACCUUAUACCCCAGUUACGAUCUCUUCUGCCACUUCGUAAGUACACGUACACGUUCCUCGUCCUCUAGGACACAACGGUACGGCAGUUCCACUACUAGGUGGACCCACACGCACUCUAUGGUUCCAAUGUACAACACGGUGGUUCAACGGUGUCUCGGGACCACUUAGCGUCUACCUAUCACUCGAUACUUUCGUGAGGCACUACGUACAAUUCAAGACUCUGGACCGCGUACUGGGAACACUACUACUUCCCAGGACCCGGAUGUUUCAACAGUACUUCCCGGAGCUGUCUGACUUGGGUCUGGAUCGGCGCGGUUUGCGGCACGGGGCGGCGAUGUUGUUCGGUUGUAAUGCCAUCGGCUCCUAGGAGUAAAUAAGGUUUUCCACGGCUUAUACCAACUGAUUGAGGUCAGGUACUCCUUUCAAGGGACCUUUACACAGUUUUGUUUAUCGACUAUUGGUCGUUAAAAGGUGGUUACCUUCGGGGCACACUAAAUCCAUGGUAAACGAGAGAACCUAAAACAAUAAAUCGGUACAGUACAAUUUAUAAUGCGCCGAACGAUUACAAUAUAUAAAUCAGCGAAUAUACUACAGACAAACCAGCAACGAGAUCGGAGUCUGGGUUCUUUAAACAAACAAACAGGUAAACUGGUUUUAUUAGACACAACGAAAUUUCAGGUCAUUUGUUUCUUUGUUGAAGCUACGUACAUAUACGGAAAGUCAAAGUGAACGUAGGUUAUUUAUAUUAAUACUGUGAACAACAGAACGACACAACAAGUUAAUAGCGGUCCUACAAUUGUUCGGGUAAUAUAUAGGAACCAUUUGGUGUACUAUGACAAAGGAUUAGUGUACAAAAAGGAUGUGUUUGAUAUGCUCAAAAUACGUUUCCAUAGUAGAUUUUCCUUAAUACCCGAAGUAUAUACGAGGUCAUAGUAUCAUAAAAAGGUACCAAGUACCGUUAUUAAAGAGAUGAACCCUAAGGUAUCUUAAGAAAACCAGACGUAUCAAAACAAAAAUGUCAACUUUUUUUGAUUAUUUAAUUGUUCUGGAAAAUACGUAUUAAUACAACGGUACUAUACGUAUUAAUACCAUCAAUCGUAUCACUGAAACUGUGAAAAAUCUAUACGAGGUUGGAACUCAAAUGAGUUAGAGCGUAAUCGGAUAACACAAACUUUAAACGAAUGUACUUUUGUCUACAACUUAAAAGGAAACUAAAUAGUAAACAGUCAAAAAUAGAAAAACUAUAAACGUACCCUACCUAAACUUGAAGUGAGAACGAUUUCGGGACAUACGCUCAAACAAACUCAAUGAACAUCUUGUUUAAUUGUUCCGGAAGAAUCAACCGUUCGCAGCUCAACCCACCAGUUAGUCAAAGGGGGACGUAGACGCUUCACCGUCUUCUUCCGAUGCUACCUACACGAGUCCCGCAACGGUAGAGGUAGGGGCGUGGUAGAAACAGUGUACGUCGUAGACUGAAUGGAGGAGUUCCGUCCUCACCGAGAAGUUCCUCUUACUCUAACUCCUACCUCCGUGACUUGGGCGUACGUACUACUGCUACGUAUUUUCAGUGCAGCCGCCGAGGACGCCCAACUGCAACCGGCGGUUGUUACUGCUCCAGCCGCCGAAACUACACCCCCAGUAGCUGGAAUGGAGACUGCCCUUAAUCAUUAGAAAAAGAAACCAAAAAUCAAUAAUAAUACGAGCCACAGGGCGAAGACGCAACAUUUUUAUUUCACCCUUAAUCAUUAGAAAAAGAAACCAAAAAUCAAUAAUAAUACGAGCCACAGGGCGAAGACGCAACAUUUUUAUUUCACGCACAGGUGAAACUAUUUAUGCCUACAGGUGCCUGAAUCAACCACCAUAGUCAAACCACUAGGUACAACUUCUACGGGAUUAGAGGAA
rnacentral:rRNA from 1 species